rnacentral:rRNA from 1 species
UCUACCGGUUGGGAAAGGUGCAACUGCACCGCAGAUGGAGGUAGCCCGCGGCGCAUUAGCUAGUUGGUGGGGUAACGGCCUACCAAGGCGACGAUGCGUAGCCGACCUGAGAGGGUGGACGGCCACGACUGGGACUGAGACACGGCCCCAGACUCCUACGGGAGGCAGCAGUAGGGAAUCUUCCGCAAUGGGCGCAAGCCUGACGGAGCAACGCCGCGUGAGCGAAGAAGGCCUUCGGGUUGUAAAGCUCAGUCACUCGGGAAGAGCGGACAGGGGAGUGGAAAGCCCUGUCGAGACGGUACCGAGAGAGGAAGCCCCGGCUAACUACGUG